AGCGAACGCUGGCGGCAGGCCUAACACAUGCAAGUCGAACGAGACCUUCGGGUCUAGUGGCGGACGGGUGAGUAACACGUGGGAACGUGCCUUUAGGUUCGGAAUAACUCAGGGAAACGUGUGCUAAUACCGAAUGUGCCCUUCGGGGGAAAGAUUUAUCGCCUUUAGAGCGGCCCGCGGCCGAUUAGCUAGUUGGUGAGGUAAUGGCCCACCAAGGCUACGAUCAGUAGCUGGUCUGAGAGGAUGAUCAGCCACAUUGGGACUGAGACACGGCCCAAACUCCUACGGGAGGCAGCAGUGCCGACGAUUGCGCAAUGGGCGAAAGCCUGACGCAGCCAUGCCGCGUGUAUGAUGAAGGGAUGAGGAUUGUAAAAUACUUUCACCGGUGAAGAUAAUGAAGGGAGCCGGAGAAGAAGACCCGGCUAACUGCGUGCCAGCCGCCGCGGUAAUAC
rnacentral:rRNA from 1 species